rnacentral:rRNA from 1 species
UGGGGAAUAUUGGACAAUGGGGGCAACCCUGAUCCAGCGAUGCCGCGUGUGUGAAGAAGGCCUGAGGGUUGUAAAGCACUUUAGUUGUUGAGGAAGGUUGUGUGGUGAAUACCCGCAUGACUUGACGGUAAACAAAGAAUAAGCUCCGGCUAACUUCGUGCCAGCAGCCGCGGUAAUACGAAGGGAGCUAGCGUUGUUCGGAAUCACUGGGCGUAAAGCGCACGUAGGUGGGCAGUUAAGUCAGGGGUGAAAGCCCGAGGCUCAACCUCGGAAUUGCCUCUGAUACUGGCUGUCUAGAGUUCGAGAGGGGUGAGUGGAAUUCCUAGUGUAGAGGUGAAAUUCGUAGAUAUUAGGAAGAACACCGGUGGCGAAGGCGGCCCACUGUCUCGGUACUGACACUGAGGUGCGAAAGCGUGGGGAGCAAACAGGAUUAGAUACCCCAGUAGUCCCUGAGCGGGCUGGCAAGGCGCAU